UACUUCACGGGAAGGAACCCG
rnacentral:piRNA from 1 species